GCCCCUGUAGCUCAUCGGUAGAGCGACUGCCUUGUAAGCAGUAGGUAGCGAGUUCAAUUCUCGUCGGGGGCU
rnacentral:tRNA from 1 species